AUUGAACGCUGGCGGCAGGCCUAACACAUGCAAGUCGAGCGGAUGAAGGGAGCUUGCUCCUGGAUUCAGCGGCGGACGGGUGAGUAAUGCCUAGGAAUCUGCCUGGUAGUGGGGGAUAACGUCCGGAAACGGGCGCUAAUACCGCAUACGUCCUGAGGGAGAAAGUGGGGGAUCUUCGGACCUCACGCUAUCAGAUGAGCCUAGGUCGGAUUAGCUAGUUGGUGGGGUAAAGGCCUACCAAGGCGACGAUCCGUAGCUGGUCUGAGAGGAUGAUCAGUCACACUGGAACUGAGACACGGUCCAGACUCCUACGGGAGGCAGCAGUGGGGAAUAUUGGGCAAUGGGCGAAAGCCUGAUCCAGCCAUGCCGCGUGUGUGAAGAAGGUCUUCGGAUUGUAAAGCACUUUAAGUUGGGAGGAAGGGCAGUAAGUUAAUACCUUGCUGUUUUGACGUUACCAACAGAAUAAGCACCGGCUAACUACGUG
rnacentral:rRNA from 1 species